rnacentral:rRNA from 1 species
GACGAACGCUGGCGGCGUGCUUAACACAUGCAAGUCGAACGGAAAGGCCCUGCUUUUGUGGGGUGCUCGAGUGGCGAACGGGUGAGUAACACGUGAGUAACCUGCCCUUGACUUUGGGAUAACUUCAGGAAACUGGGGCUAAUACCGGAUAGGAGCUCCUGCUGCAUGGUGGGGGUUGGAAAGUUUCGGCGGUUGGGGAUGGACUCGCGGCUUAUCAGCUUGUUGGUGGGGUGGUGGCUUACCAAGGCUUUGACGGGUAGCCGGCCUGAGAGGGUGACCGGCCACAUUGGGACUGAGAUACGGCCCAGACUCCUACGGGAGGCAGCAGUGGGGAAUAUUGCACAAUGGGCGGAAGCCUGAUGCAGCAACGCUGCGUGCGGGAUGACGGCCUUCGGGUUGUAAACCGCUUUCGCCUGUGACGAAGCGUGAGUGACGGUAAUGGGUAAAGAAGCACCGGCUAACUACGUG